rnacentral:rRNA from 1 species
AGAGUUUGAUCCUGGCUCAGGAUGAACGCUGGCGGCGUGCCUAACACAUGCAAGUUGAGCGAUUUACUUCGGUAAAGAGCGGCGGACGGGUGAGUAACGCGUGGGUAACCUACCCUGUACACACGGAUAACAUACCGAAAGGUAUGCUAAUACGGGAUAAUAUAUUUGAGAGGCAUCUCUUGAAUAUCAAAGGUGAGCCAGUACAGGAUGGACCCGCGUCUGAUUAGCUAGUUGGUAAGGUAACGGCUUACCAAGGCGACGAUCAGUAGCCGACCUGAGAGGGUGAUCGGCCACAUUGGAACUGAGACACGGUCCAAACUCCUACGGGAGGCAGCAGUGGGGAAUAUUGCACAAUGGGCGAAAGCCUGAUGCAGCAACGCCGCGUGAGUGAUGAAGGCCUUCGGGUCGUAAAACUCUGUCCUCAAGGAAGAUAAUGACGGUACUUGAGGAGGAAGCCCCGGCUAACUACGUGCCAGCAGCCGCGGUAAUACGUAGGGGGCUAGCGUUAUCCGGAUUUACUGGGCGUAAAGGGUGCGUAGGUGGUCUUUCAAGUCGGUGGUUAAAGGCUACGGCUCAACCGUAGUUAGCCUCCGAAACUGGAAGACUUGAGUGCAGGAGAGGAAAGUGGAAUUCCCAGUGUAGCGGUGAAAUGCGUAGAUAUUGGGAGGAACACCAGUAGCGAAGGCGGCUUUCUGGACUGCAACUGACACUGAGGCACGAAAGCGUGGGUAGCAAACAGGAUUAGAUACCCUGGUAGUCCACGCUGUAAACGAUGAGUACUAGGUGUCGGGGGUUACCCCCCUCGGUGCCGCAGCUAACGCAUUAAGUACUCCGCCUGGGGAGUACGCACGCAAGUGUGAAACUCAAAGGAAUUGACGGGGACCCGCACAAGUAGCGGAGCAUGUGGUUUAAUUCGAAGCAACGCGAAGAACCUUACCUACACUUGACAUCCCUUGCAUUACUCUUAAUCGAGGAAAUCCCUUCGGGGACAAGGUGACAGGUGGUGCAUGGUUGUCGUCAGCUCGUGUCGUGAGAUGUUGGGUUAAGUC